AGUUUCAGAAGUAUGGUCACUAGAGGAUCCAAUACAUUCAUUGCAGUGGAAAAGAUCAUGCUGAUGCACUGGAACCUUGAAACUCUUAUUUUAGUUUUUUUUUUGUUUUGUAUUAUGGCAGUAAAAAUCUGAGACUGCUUUCUAUUGGGAUGUGAUUUAUUAGAGUGUUGGCAUUUAAAUUGCAGAUAUGAUGUUAUUUUGAACUUCUAUGUUACUGUUUUACUUCAAAU
rnacentral:misc_RNA from 1 species